rnacentral:rRNA from 1 species
UACGGAGGAUCCAAGCGUUAUCCGGAUUUAUUGGGCUUAAAGGGUGCGUAGGCGGAUUGAUAAGUUAGAGGUGAAAUGUCCGAGCUCAACUCGGGAACUGCCUCUAAUACUGUUGAUCUAGAGAGUAGAUGCGGUAGGCGGAAUGUAUGGUGUAGCGGUGAAAUGCUUAGAGAUCAUACAGAACACCGAUUGCGAAGGCAGCUUACCAAUCUAUAUCUGACGUUGAGGCACGAAAGCGUGGGGAGCAAACAGG